CUCUGUCUGCUGUAUAGACACACCACACACACACACCUCUGUCUGCUGUAUAGACACACCACACACACACACACACACACACACACCUCUGUCUGCUGUAUAGACACACCACACACACACACACACACCUGUCUGCUGUAUAGACACACCACACACACACACACACCUCUGUCUGCUGUAUAGACACACCACACACACACACACACACACACACCUCUGUCUGCUGUAUAGACACACCACACACACACACACACCUCUGUCUGCUGUAUAGACACACCACACACACACACACACCUCUGUCUGCCGUAUAGACGUCCUAACAGACACUCCUCUGUCUGGCCCAUAGACGUCCUAACAGACACUCCUCUGUCUGGCCCAUAGACGUCCUAACAGACACUCCUCUGUCUGGCCCAUAGACGUCCUAUCAGACACUCUCUCCUUGCAACAGACUUCAGAGGAUACCUCAUCGGUAGUUAAAGGUGUCUGUCUUGUCUUCUACAGCCCACUGUCCACAGCCUCAUGUUUAUACUCUAUGUAAGUACCCAACACACGCCGAGCCAAAUGGCUGUUAGGGUUUAUUGUGUAGCAAAAAUAUGCAAACGUGUUCAGCCCUGCAAUUUGUAAAUACACAGGAUCACCAUGUUGUGUUGUUGCGUUGGGUGUAUAAUACUGUUAACAUCUUGUCUGUCAGCUGUUCUAUGGACUUGUCAAAGGCACUGUGUUCCUCUUAUUGGGGAACGUGUGUAAGUAAGGGCUUUACUCUCUGGUCGUCCCUAAUGGCACUCUGUUCCCUUCAUAGGCCUCUGGUCGUCCCUAAUGGCACUCUGUUCCCUUCAUAGGCCUCUGGUCGUCCCUAAUGGCACUCUGUUCCCUUCAUAGGCCUCUGGUCGUCCCUAAUGGCACUCUGUUCCCUUCAUAGGCCUCUGGUCGUCCCUAAUGGCACUCUGUUCCCUUCAUAGGCCUCUGGUCAAUAGUAGUGCAUUGUAUAGUACAGCCGGGACAUUAAACCGAUCAUUAUCGAUACUGGCAAUACCGAUCAUUAUAGACACCGGCAUUACCGAUCACUUAUCGUAGGCAGUAACUUAUACUAGAAAUGUGAAGUGUGAAAUGUGAAGUUUGAAAUGAAGUAAGUUUGCCAAUAUGGUUUGUUAAUGGGACAAUUGACUGCUACAACCAUCUAACUAGUAGUUUAAAGGAGAAUAAUAGAAACUGUGGUGCAGAUUAAUGUUAUAAACAGAUUAUUAUAUUUAUCAGUAUCGCAUCAAUUCAGGCAAUUUAUCACCAUAUGUAUUUUGGUCCACGUCACCCAGCUCUACUAUAUAGGGAAUAGGGUGCCAUUUUGGACUCGGCCCAUGUCUGUCUCUGUAUACUGUCUGCAUGGUGUCUCUGUUUCUCCAUCCCUCUCUCUAGCUCUGGUCCUGGGCGUUAGUGAAGGAAGGCUGAGCAGUAACACCCUGGACCAGAGCUAGAGUAUCUCUUCUGUCUGUUGGAAUUUCUGAUGCUUUAAGGCAAAAGCUGAGAAUGUUUUCUGAUUUUAACAGUUUUUCUACCGACUUUAAACAAUAAAGUUUAAAACAUGA
ensembl:lncRNA